rnacentral:rRNA from 1 species
CCCUUAGAUGUUCUGGGCCGCACGCGCGCUACACUGAUGCAUUCAACGAGUUUUUCCUUGGCCGAGAGGCUUGGGCAAUCUUUUAAACGUGCAUCGUGAUAGGGAUAGAUUAUUGCAAUUAUUAAUCUUGAACGAGGAAUUCCUAGUAAACGCAGAUCAUCAAUCUGCAUUGAUUACGUCCCUGCCCUUUGUACACACCGCCCGUCGCACCUACCGAUUGAAUGGUCCGGUGAAGCCUCGGGAUUGUGGCGAGUUCCCUUUAUUGGGAGUUUGUCGCGAGAACUUGUCUAAACCUUAUCAUUUAGAGGAAGGUGAAGUCGUAACA